rnacentral:rRNA from 1 species
AGAUUGAACGCUGGCGGCAGGCCUAACACAUGCAAGUCGAGCGGUAGAGAGGUGCUUGCAUCUCUUGAGAGCGGCGGACGGGUGAGUAAUGCCUAGGAAUCUGCCUAGUGGUGGGGGAUAACGUUCGGAAACGGACGCUAAUACCGCAUACGUCCUACGGGAGAAAGCGGGGGACCUUCGGGCCUCGCGCCAUUAGAUGAGCCUAGGUCGGAUUAGCUAGUUGGUGAGGUAAUGGCUCACCGAGGCGACGAUCCGUAACUGGUCUGGAGAGGAUGAUCAGUCACACUGGAACUGAGACACGGUCCAGACUCCUACGGGA